rnacentral:rRNA from 1 species
UACGGGGGGGGCAAGCGUUGUUCGGAAUUACUGGGCGUAAAGGGCUCGUAGGCGGCCAACUAAGUCCGACGUGAAAUCCCCAGGCUCAACCUGGGAACUGCGUCGGAUACUGGAUGGCUUGAAUUCGGGAGAGGGAUGCAGAAUUCCAGGUGUAGCGGUGAAAUGCGUAGAUAUCUGGAGGAAUACCGGUGGCGAAGGCGGCAUCCUGGACCGACAUUGACGCUGAUGAGCGAAAGCUAGGGGAGCAAACGGG